UUAAAUUAAAAAUAAAAGCUGAAGAAAUGUUUGAAAAACUGCGGCCAGUCGGAGGCGGCGACGGGCCUUAAUUUAGGUUUCAGGGAAUCCCGCGAUCUUCCGAUUCAUAGUCAAGAAAUCGGAUUCCUUCGCUCAUCUCUCUGAUACGCUAUUUACAGAGAUUUCUACAUCCUAUUUUGCCUUUAAUUUUUUUGUUUGAUCGAAUUGGAGUUAGUUCUCCGCUGGUUGCUUCACGGCGCUUCCAAUUCAGGUUUUGGUAUUGGCUGUACAGUGCAAUGCGUUGUGUGAACUUGCGUAUUUGAUGCGAUGGAGGAAGAGGAGGAUCGGAUUUUUCUGAACAGCUUGGGUGUGACGUCUGCUAAUCCGGAGGAUAUAGAGCGGGACUUGAUAGAGGAGGCAAAAAAGAAUAGUGAGAAUGGUGCUGAUGUUGGAGGAAUUGCGGAAGAGAACGCCUGUGAGAAGUUAGAUACCACUGAUUUACCUUCUGCCAGUCAUGUGCUGCUCCAUCAGAAGCUUAGGGCUGUUGAAUACGAGAUCGAUGCUGUUGCAUCGACAGUGGAAUCAGGGAAGAAACUUGAAAGAAAUGAGCAACAUUCUCAUGUUGGUGCUGACCCUCAGGAGUAUGGGCGUGAAGAGGACGGUGUUUCAGCUUCUGCAGAUGGCCUUCAGCAUGCACUGGCUGUUGACAGGCUAAGAAGCUUGAAGAAAACCCAACAGCAGUUGAAGAAAGAACUUUCCCAUUUGAACGACAAGCAUGCCGAGACAUUAUUGGAGAUAGUCAAGGACAGAUCAAAACCUAAAAGAAAGUCUAAAGAGGUUAAGAAAUCAGGAAAAAAUGGAGAAAAGAGGUUGAAAGUUGUGUCAUUUGACGAAGAUAACGAUUUUGAUGCAGCUUUGGAUGCAGCCACUGUGGGCUUUGUUGAAACAGAAAGAGAUGAAUUGGUGCGGAAGGGAAUUUUAACACCAUUUCACAAGCUAAAGGGCUUUGAGCGCCGUCUUCAGAACCCUGGGCAAUCAAGUCUUCAGAACGCCGGGCAAUCAAGGCCUGAAGUAAAGGGGGAAGAAGAGGAAAAUGAUGACUUUGCUUCUGACAGUGUUGCUAAAGCCGUCCAGUCAAUGUCAGUGGCUGCACAAGCUCGACCGACCACUAAAUUGCUUGAUCCGGAAGAUUUGCCGAAGCUUGAUCCGCCAACUCGUCCUUUUUACAGGUUAAAAAAACCUGCAAAGGUUCCCCUCUCUGCAGAAGACAAAGCUACAAAAAAAAUAAAAUGCAAAAAGACUAGACGGCCUUUGCCAGACAAAAAAUACAGAAAACAAAUUGCCAUGGAGGAAAGAGACGAGGAAGCUGCUGAGAAUAUGUCAGAUGGUUUACAUACAUCAGGUUCUGAAAGAGAAAAUUCAGGAGAUUUAGAAGAUGAUGUUCACGAAUCUUCUUCUGUAACGCUUGAAGGCGGGCUGAAAAUUCCUCAGAGCAUAUUUGAUCAGCUCUUUGAUUACCAAAAAGUUGGGGUCCAGUGGUUAUGGGAAUUGCACUGCCAAAGGGCUGGUGGAAUUAUUGGAGAUGAGAUGGGCCUUGGGAAAACGGUCCAGGUCUUGGCCUUUUUAGGUGCAUUACAUUUCAGUAACAUUUAUAAACCAAGCAUCAUCGUCUGCCCUGUUACACUAGUUAGACAGUGGAAGAGGGAGGCACGGAAAUGGUGCCCGGACCUUUUGGUGGAAAUCCUUCAUGAUUCUGCUCAUGAUCCCACAUACAGGAAGAUGCGAGAGAAAUCUUAUGAAAGUGAUGAAAGUGAAGAUUCAGAGGAAAGUGAUUAUGGGAAAAACUCACAGUCCAAAGGCACAAAAAAAUGGGAUUCCUUGAUAAACCGUGUUUUGAGGUCAGAAUCCGGUAUGCUCAUUACCACUUAUGAACAACUACGACUGUUAGGUGGGAAGUUGCUUGACAUUGAAUGGGGGUAUGCAGUCCUGGAUGAAGGUCAUCGUAUUCGAAAUCCAAAUGCUGAAGUCACUUUAGUUUGCAAGCAGCUGCAGACAGUACAUCGCAUAAUCAUGACGGGUUCUCCAAUUCAGAACAAAUUGACUGAGUUGUGGUCCUUGUUUGAUUUUGUUUUCCCUGGGAAGUUGGGAGUGUUGCCUGUAUUUGAAGCAGAGUUUGCAGUUCCUAUAUCUGUUGGUGGCUAUGCUAAUGCCUCUCCAUUGCAAGUAUCAACUGCAUAUAGGUGCGCUGUCGUUCUUCGUGACUUAAUUAUGCCCUAUCUUCUUAGAAGGAUGAAAGCUGAUGUGAAUGCACAUUUGCCAAAGAAAACCGAACACGUUCUCUUCUGCAGUCUAACUUCUGAGCAACGUUCUGUCUAUAGAGCAUUCCUUGCAAGCUCUGAAGUGGAAAGUAUUUUGGAUGGGAAUAGAAAUUCUCUUUCUGGAAUUGAUGUAAUGCGUAAAAUUUGCAACCACCCAGAUCUACUCGAGAGAGAACACUCUUUCCAAAAUCCCGACUAUGGGAAUCCUGAACGUAGUGGAAAAAUGAAGGUAGUUGAGCAAGUGCUGAAGGUCUGGAAGGAACAAGGUCAUCGUGUUCUUCUUUUCGCGCAGACCCAACAGAUGCUUGACAUUUUAGAGAGAUUUAUGGUUGGAGGUGGUUAUACUUACAGGAGGAUGGAUGGUGGUACUCCUGUCAAACAGAGAAUGGCCUUGAUUGAUGAAUUCAACAAUUCAUGUGAGGUGUUUGUUUUUAUUUUAACAACCAAGGUUGGUGGUCUAGGAACCAACUUAACUGGAGCAGAUAGGGUUAUAAUCUUCGACCCUGAUUGGAAUCCAUCAACCGACAUGCAGGCAAGGGAGCGUGCUUGGCGUAUUGGUCAACAGCGAGAUGUGACAGUGUAUAGAUUGAUCACUCGUGGAACUAUAGAGGAGAAAGUGUACCAUCGACAGAUAUAUAAACAUUUUCUCACUAAUAAGAUCUUAAAAAACCCACAGCAGAGAAGGUUCUUUAAGGCUAGAGACAUGAAAGAUCUCUUUACACUGAACGAGGAUGCGGUGGAUGGAUCGACAGAAACGUCAAAUAUUUUCAGUGAGUUGACCGAUAGUGUAAAUGUUGUUGGCGUUCAGAAAAAUGAGAAGGAUGAGCAAAAAAUUGGCCGUGGCUCUGUAUCGUAUACAGAUUCUGCUGAUGAAAAACCAUGCAAAUCAGAGACUGAAACUUCUGGAAGAGAUGAUUCUGUAGAGAUGGGUCAGGGUCGUGGAGCAGACGAAGACGAAAAUAUCUUGAAGAGCCUCUUUGAUGCGCAUGGUAUUCAUAGUGCCGUUAAUCAUGAUAUCAUUGUUAACGCUGAUGAUGGGGAGAAGAUACGACUAGAGGAGCAAGCUUCUCAAGUUGCACGUAGAGCAGCCGAGGCAUUGCGCCAGUCGAGAAUUCUGCGAAGUAAUGAGAGUGUCUCAGUUCCAACAUGGACUGGAAAAGCUGGAACCGCUGGUGCACCAUCGUCUGUGCGUCGAAAGUUUGGUUCAACCGUUAACUCUCUGGUAAACAACAAAUCCAAAUCUCCAGAUGAAGCAUCAAGAAAUGGAGCUAGCCAUUUAAAUGGCCUUGCAGCUGGAACAUCUUCCGGAAAGGCCUUAUCUUCAGCUGAGCUUCUGGCUAAAAUCAGAGGAAACCAAGAAAGAGCAUUAAGCGCCGGGCUUGAACAUCAUCAACCAGCUCCUUCAAGUAGUUCAAACAACGUACGAGGUGCCGGUGUCGGUUCUUCUCGAUCAUCGAAGAACCUUUCUGGAGUACAACCCGAAGUAUUGAUUCGGCAGAUAUGUACGUUUAUUCAACAAAGAGGCGGAUCCGCUGAUUCAGCCAGUAUUGUACAGCAUUUUAAGCAGAGGAUACCCUCAAAUGAUUUGCCCUUGUUUAAGAAUCUGCUGAAAGAGAUAGCAAUAUUAGAGAAAAGCCCCAGUGGAUCACUCUGGGUUCUGAAGGCAGAGUAUAAACAGUAAUCUAAGCACAGAUAGUUUAUACUUCCAUGGUACCAAUCACUCCGGGCCUUUUCCACUCCUGACUUUCUCAGUUGGAAUUUUGUGUAGGCUCAGGCAAUGAUAUCGUGUAGACGUGUACAGCUAACAGGAAGCAGAUUGCGGAUGAUCCAAUUUGUAGAGUCUUUGAUCAUGGAUGAUGGGUAGCCAAAUUUUCAAUUUGUAGAUGUAGACUUAUUGUUUAUUGCAAGUUAAAUGUUCCUUCGGUUCAUGAAAGACUAGAAACCUGACCAUUCCAUCAAGAUCCAGACAUUCUUUUACUUCCAUUCCUGUUAUCAAUUUUUUUUUUUAAGUAAUUAUACCAGUCUGGUAUAUUUAUUAGGUUACAAUUCAGCCGACUACGAGUGCCUGUUGAUAACAUUCGAGGUGCAUUACGACA